UCACAUAUACUGUAGUUGGUCAUUAACGGGAUGCGGAAGGCAGCGUACGGGCAGUAUCUAAUUGUUUCCAGCCAUUUCAGUAUGAUAACUUUGGCGAUUUACAGAUAAUAGAAUACAAAGUUGGUUUGAAGUGAUCCUGAGCUGUGAAUCCUUAAUGCGUAUCGCUCCGGAAUCGUUUACUCGAGACCCUCUCGCACAUACCGUUACUCGGAUAUAGAUGAUACAGAUUGCCCGUCGUAACAACAGGACAUAGAAUACCCCAAAGGUAUCUACCGGAAUACAUUAAAUACUCGGAUGUUCUACAACACGCCCACGCGGGCAGAACUCUCUUCAUAUCAAAAACAACCUGCCAGUGAGUCCUGGAAAUCAGACCCGUGGGCAACCGCAUCACUGUUCAAUAGACGCCCAUCGCGUGAACGCACUCCAAAAACUCAGGGAACGGCAAUGGCUUAGUGAACACAGCUAUAACCAAAGGGAAGGUACUCGGGCACUCGUUAGCUUCUUCCACCUUCGGUCACCCCGAUAAGGUUAGCAUUCGCGGGCGCUCGGGGUCGCUCUGGAUCCCGGAACCGGAACUAGGCCUAGGGCUGCGAUAGGCAGCGACCUCUUACGGAUCCAUUCUUACGGUUUUCUGCCCUGCCCGCCCCCAACAAGUGCCUCCAUUCUAGUAAGGUCUAGAAUCGACCUUGCUCGAAGGUAAAUGAUGUUGUAAAAGCUGCUGCUGCUGCGUGUCAUCAGGUGGCGGCUGUGAGCCCGGACACCUCAGUGGAGCAGAGCACACAAACGACGCCUCCAAGCAGCUGCUGUUGCUGCUGCUACUGCUGCUACUGCUGCUGCUGCUGUUACUGCUGCUGCAGGUCUUUGGCGUGCGUGGAGCGAGCUGGCGGGUUUCGCCCGGUUUUGGAAUGUGUUAUUAUGGCUGUCAAGUUCUUGGGGUACAGCUGGCGCGAAGCAAGGCAAGCAAGCUUUGGGCAGGGGGCCGGUAUGGUUGCCGCACAGAGCAGGCGGCUCGCUAGGUAGGCAUUCUGGGGAGCGAGGGGGGCCACUAGUGCUUCGGGUGCAUUCUUUCGAUGUGCCGCAGUUGCAACCAGGUUCGUGCGCAAAAUAAUUUCUCAGUUCACAGCUUGCGAUUCGACUGGUUGCGUCUUGCUGUCUCGCGCGAAUCUAAGUUUCCAAGGGCUCGGGUCCCUGCUGCUGCUCCUCUCUGAAUUCUUCUCGUGUUGAGUUUUUGUCGCUUACUUGGUGGCUGGUACUCAAGCCUUCCGGAAGCGCAAUGUAACGUGACGGCAGCUAGCCUAUUCAAAACACUAACAACUAACAACCAACACUUACAAAUUCCCAGUGCUGUUCACGGUCAAUUGUCGCCCGAUGGCCCUACCCUGGGCCAUUCCCUUGGGGUCUGGGGCAGGGGGGUUGCAGAGCUGUCAGGAUGCGUCGUCGUCGGAAGGGUCGUCGGGCACACGAUACGGAUGGGAAAGACUAGGAUAGAAAUCUGAAAACCCCAGGAUAAGAAUGGCAGUAGGGCCCAGGAUGGCGGCGAAUUUGCAAGGGUCGAUGCCAACCCACCAUGUGCGAUUAUAAAUAUUUAUUAUGGAGGUUCUCGUAAUAAAUUUCCUGUCGUUUACCUCAGUGCCGCUGGCGUAUGGGGACCACUUUGCCGCUGCACCGGACGCUGUACAUAUAUUAUUCCUCGCAGAAAAAACCUUUGCACAUGCAUAUGCUGAUAUAGAUCUAUACAUACUGUUACAUAGCUUGUUGGGAAAAGGUUGAAAGGGAUUUGUCCGCAGCGCAAUCGUAAUGGACCAUGACAGGCAAGAGUUUGCAGUUGCAAAACCUUAGAACUAGCGUUCAUAUAUGUGCGGUAGAUGUGAUGAUGCCUGCAUGCGCACGGACGAUCAGAUCUUGUCCCCGUCUCGUUCAUUAAGGUCGCUAGUUGGCGCUAGUUGGCGCUGUGUAAACAUCCCCAGCCGCCGUACCGCCGCAGCCCCUAUUUCCUUAGCCGGUCCUGCGUCAUAAUCGUUGCUGUGGAGCCGUUACAGUCGCGCUGGAUUAUUGCAUGGACAUGGAAAACCUUGAAUUUGCCGCUGUACGGCACGCAGUAGUGCUACCAGAGUGUACGGUGGUGGACCGGUUAUUACCCGUGCUGAGCAUGGGGCUUCAGGAACUGGCAAUGGAACCCUACAGGAUAUGUUGUAAUCCGGCUAGCUGUGAUGUAUUCUCCAGCUCGCACCUCGAUUACUAUCCGUCAUUCGCCUCAAGAAACAGCGCCUUAACCUGUUGCCUUUGUCCUGCGGUGGCCUACAUGACCACCACCCG
rnacentral:lncRNA from 1 species